rnacentral:rRNA from 1 species
GACGAACGCUGGCGGCGUGCCUAACACAUGCAAGUCGAACGGAAACGCGCUGCUUGGGUUGGGGGCGCGUGGGGCGAACGGGUGAGUAACACGUGAGUAACCUGACCAGGACUGUGGGAUUACGUGAGGAAACAGGGGAUAAUACAGGCUAGGAGCUCCGGCAGCAAGGUGGGGGUUGGAAAGUUUCGGCGGGUGGGGCUGGACUGGCGGCUUAUGAGCUUGUUGGUUGGGUAGUGGCUUACCAAGGCUUUGACAGGUCGCCGGCCUGGGAGGGUGACCGGCGCCCUUAGGCCUGCGAGACGGACCAGACGCGUACGGUAGGCAGCGGGGGGGAAUAUUGCACAGUGGGCGGAAGCCUGAUGCAGCGACGCCGCGGUCGGGAAGACGGCCUUGGGGUUGUGAACCGCUUUCGCCUGUUACGAAGCGUGAGUGACGGUAACGGGUGAAGAAGCACCGGCUAACUACGUG